AGACGUCUACAUUAGAUACCCCCGUAGUCCCAGCCGUAAACUAUGCGCGUUAGGUGUAUCGGUGACCACGAGUUACCGAGGUGCCGAAGGGAAACCGUGAAACGUGCCGCCUGGGAAGUACGGUCGCAAGGCUGAAACUUAAAGGAAUUGGCGGGGAGCACCACAACAGGUGGAGCCUGCGGUUUAAUUGGACUCAACGCCGGGAAGCUCACCGGAUAAGACAGCGGAAUGAUUGCCGGGCUGAAGACUCUGCAUGACUAGCUG
rnacentral:rRNA from 1 species